UAGAAGCCGAUGAAGGACGUUACUAACGACGAUAUGCUUUGGGGAGCUGUAAGUAAGCUUUGAUCCAGAGAUUUCCGAAUGGGGAAACCCAGCAUGAGUUAUGUCAUGUUAUCGAUAUGUGAAUACAUAGCAUAUCAGAAGGCACACCCGGAGAACUGAAACAUCUUAGUACCCGGAGGAAGAGAAAGAAAAUUCGAUUCCCUUAGUAGCGGCGAGCGAAACGGGAAGAGCCCAAACCAACAAGCUUGCUUGUUGGGGUUGUAGGACACUCUAUACGGAGUUACAAAGGACGACAUUAGACGAAUCAUCUGGAAAGAUGAAUCAAAGAAGGUAAUAAUCCUGUAGUCGAAAAUGUUGUCUCUCUUGAGUGGAUCCUGAGUACGACGGAGCACGUGAAAUUCCGUCGGAAUCUGGGAGGACCAUCUCCUAAGGCUAAAUACUCUCUAGUGACCGAUAGUGAACCAGUACCGUGAGGGAAAGGUGAAAAGCACCCCGGAAGGGGAGUGAAAUAGAACCUGAAACCGUGUGCUUACAAGUAGUCAGAGCCCGUUAAUGGGUGAUGGCGUGCCUUUUGUAGAAUGAACCGGCGAGUUACGAUUUGAUGCAAGGUUAAGCAGUAAAUGUGGAGCCGUAGCGAAAGCGAGUCUGAAUAGGGCGUUUAGUAUUUGGUCGUAGACCCGAAACCAGGUGAUCUACCCUUGGUCAGGUUGAAGUUCAGGUAACACUGAAUGGAGGACCGAACCGACUUACGUUGAAAAGUGAGCGGAUGAACUGAGGGUAGCGGAGAAAUUCCAAUCGAACCUGGAGAUAGCUGGUUCUCUCCGAAAUAGCUUUAGGGCUAGCCUCAAGUGAUGAUUAUUGGAGGUAGAGCACUGUUUGGACGAGGGGCCCCUCUCGGGUUACCGAAUUCAGACAAACUCCGAAUGCCAAUUAAUUUAACUUGGGAGUC
rnacentral:rRNA from 1 species